rnacentral:rRNA from 1 species
UAGAGGCAGGGUCAGACCGUUUCUCUUUUGGACUUGGGAUUUGUUAGAUGUACUUUUUCUUUAGCAGGUCAACGUCGGUUUCGGGGGUUGUAAAAUACUUGGGGGAAAAGUAGCUCUGCUUCGGGAGAGUGUUAUAGACCCUGGGGGAUGCAGCCUGUGGGAUCGAGGAUUGCAGCAAAUGCCUUCUGGCUUGUCGCCUAUUCCUGGGUGUCACCUGUCUUGUGGCAACAUUCUUGCCACCGGAGAGUACUAAUGCCUACUGUUUAGAGCGAUCGAAAAU